rnacentral:rRNA from 1 species
UACGAAGGGGGCUAGCGUUGCUCGGAAUCACUGGGCGUAAAGCGCACGUAGGCGGAUCCUUAAGUCGGGGGUGAAAUCCUGGAGCUCAACUCCAGAACUGCCUUCGAUACUGAGGAUCUCGAGUCCGGGAGAGGUGAGUGGAACUGCGAGUGUAGAGGUGAAAUUCGUAGAUAUUCGGAAGAACACCAGUGGCGAAGGCGGCUCACUGGUCCGGUACUGACGCUGAGGUGCGAAAGCGUGGGGAGCAAACAGG